rnacentral:lncRNA from 1 species
UAUUUUAGGGAUAACAACAUAAUGUAUCAUGAGCCUCCCUGAUUCAAAUCCACCCUGAUUCCCAGGUUCUUUCUUGGUUUUCAGAACUGUUGUUACCUCCUGUCCUUGUGGGCCCUGGAAACACUUGGCAGCAACAAUAUCAAAGCAGGGGAAGAAAAGCCAUUUUCUGGAGAUUACCAGCUCUGGAGGGAACUGGGGAAGAUCCAUUUGCUAGUGAUUUCAAAGUCCUUGCUUAAGACCUCUCUGCCACGGUACCUGUUUGAAGCAAAAAUUUUCAGCAGGCUCAUCACACCAAGACAAUUUGACAACCAGCGUGGGACAUCCAAAUGCAGGCUCAAAGGCAAAAGCCCUCUUCUGUCUUUACAGCUUUUUUUGUUUGCCAAACCACGUAUUUGGUCCAUGCCUCAGAGCAAAACUGAACGAUCCAGUAUUUGCAGCCAGUUUCCAGCUGAGCUUUUCCUGCAGAGCC